rnacentral:pre_miRNA from 1 species
UAAUUACUCCCUCCGUCAGGAAAUACUUGUCAUUAAAAUGGAUGUAUCUAGAUAUAUUUUAGUUCUAGAUACAUCCAUUUUCAUCCAUUUUGAUGACAAGUAAUUCCAAACGGAGGGAGUAUUAU